GCAGCACAGCGGCAUCCCUACCCCGCCCUCUCCUUUCUCCGCUCCUCCUGCUUUUCUACCCGUCGUCACCCGGGAGAGCCGGAGGUAGGGUUCGGAAGGAGGAUCCCGAACGCUCGGCGUGUGGCGUCAGACGCCGGGAGGGGGACGGGGCGGAGAGUAGUGGGGGAGAAUGGGAGGACGAAGGGGAGGGGAAAGGACAGGGGAGGGGAGGGUAAAUAGUGGGCCAGGCAGGAAGAUGGCGGCGGUAGCGGAGGUGUGAGUGGACGCGGGUCUCAGCGGUCGGAUUUUCUCUUCCCUUCUUCUCCCUUUCCCUUCCCUAUUUGAAAUUGGCAUCGAGGGGGCUAAGUUCGGGUGGCAGCGCCGGGCGCAACGCAGGGGUCACGGCGACGGCGGCGGCUGACGGCUGGAAGGGUAGGCUUCCUUCACCGCUCGUCCUCCUUCCUCGCUCCGCUCGGUGUCAGGCGCGGCGGCGGCGCGGCGGGCGGACUUCGUCCCUCCUCCUGCUCCCCCCCACACCGGAGCGGGCACUCUUCGCCUUGCCAUCCCCCGACCCUUCACCCCGAGGACUGGGCGCCUCCUCCGGCGCAGCUGAGGGAGCGGGGGCCGGUCUCCUGCUCGGCUGUCGCGCCUCCAUGUCGGAUAAUCAGAGCUGGAACUCGUCGGGAUCGGAGGAGGAUCCAGAGACGGAGUCUGGGCCGCCUGUGGAGCGCUGCGGGGUCCUCAGUAAGUGGACAAACUACAUUCAUGGGUGGCAGGAUCGUUGGGUAGUUUUGAAAAAUAAUGCUCUGAGUUACUACAAAUCUGAAGAUGAAACAGAGUAUGGCUGCAGAGGAUCCAUCUGUCUUAGCAAGGCUGUCAUCACACCUCAUGAUUUUGAUGAAUGUCGAUUUGAUAUUAGUGUAAAUGAUAGUGUUUGGUAUCUUCGUGCUCAGGAUCCAGAUCAUAGACAGCAAUGGAUAGAUGCCAUUGAACAGCACAAGACUGAAUCUGGAUAUGGUUCUGAAUCCAGCUUGCGUCGACAUGGCUCAAUGGUGUCCCUGGUGUCUGGAGCAAGUGGCUACUCUGCAACAUCCACCUCUUCAUUCAAGAAAGGCCACAGUUUACGUGAGAAGUUGGCUGAAAUGGAAACAUUUAGAGACAUCUUAUGUAGACAAGUUGACACGCUACAGAAGUACUUUGAUGCCUGUGCUGAUGCUGUCUCUAAGGAUGAACUUCAAAGGGAUAAAGUGGUAGAAGAUGAUGAAGAUGACUUUCCUACAACGCGUUCUGAUGGUGACUUCUUGCAUAGUACCAACGGCAAUAAAGAAAAGUUAUUUCCACAUGUGACACCAAAAGGAAUUAAUGGUAUAGACUUUAAAGGGGAAGCGAUAACUUUUAAAGCAACUACUGCUGGAAUCCUUGCAACACUUUCUCAUUGUAUUGAACUAAUGGUUAAACGUGAGGACAGCUGGCAGAAGAGACUGGAUAAGGAAACUGAGAAGAAAAGAAGAACAGAGGAAGCAUAUAAAAAUGCAAUGACAGAACUUAAGAAAAAAUCCCACUUUGGAGGACCAGAUUAUGAAGAAGGCCCUAACAGUCUGAUUAAUGAAGAAGAGUUCUUUGAUGCUGUUGAAGCUGCUCUUGACAGACAAGAUAAAAUAGAAGAACAGUCACAGAGUGAAAAGGUGAGAUUACAUUGGCCUACGUCCUUGCCAUCUGGAGAUGCCUUUUCUUCUGUGGGGACACAUAGAUUUGUCCAAAAGCCCUAUAGUCGCUCUUCCUCCAUGUCUUCCAUUGAUCUAGUCAGUGCCUCUGAUGAUGUUCACAGAUUCAGCUCCCAGGUUGAAGAGAUGGUGCAGAACCACAUGACUUACUCAUUACAGGAUGUAGGCGGAGAUGCCAAUUGGCAGUUGGUUGUAGAAGAAGGAGAAAUGAAGGUAUACAGAAGAGAAGUAGAAGAAAAUGGGAUUGUUCUGGAUCCUUUAAAAGCUACCCAUGCAGUUAAAGGCGUCACAGGACAUGAGGUCUGCAAUUAUUUCUGGAAUGUUGACGUUCGCAAUGACUGGGAAACAACUAUAGAAAACUUUCAUGUCGUGGAAACAUUAGCUGAUAAUGCAAUCAUCAUUUAUCAAACACACAAGAGGGUGUGGCCUGCUUCUCAGCGAGACGUACUAUAUCUUUCUGUCAUUCGAAAGAUACCAGCCUUGACUGAAAAUGACCCUGAAACUUGGAUAGUUUGUAAUUUUUCUGUGGAUCAUGACAGUGCUCCUCUAAACAACCGAUGUGUCCGUGCCAAAAUAAAUGUUGCUAUGAUUUGUCAAACCUUGGUAAGCCCACCAGAGGGAAACCAGGAAAUUAGCAGGGACAACAUUCUAUGCAAGAUUACAUAUGUAGCUAAUGUGAACCCUGGAGGAUGGGCACCAGCCUCAGUGUUAAGGGCAGUGGCAAAGCGAGAGUAUCCUAAAUUUCUAAAACGUUUUACUUCUUACGUCCAAGAAAAAACUGCAGGAAAGCCUAUUUUGUUCUAGUAUUAACAGUGACUGAAGCAAGGCUGUGUGACAUUCCAUGUUGGAGAAAAAAAGAAAAAAAAAGCUGAAUGCUCUAAGCUGGAACGUAGGAUCUAUAGCCUUGUCUGUGGCCCAAGACCUUGGCCUUGUGUACAAAAAUGACAAAAUAUUGCAAUAGCAAAGCUGAACAUCUAACACUAGCUAUCUCUUGCUAGAUCUCCUUGCUCAGCAUAUAACUAUAAAUACAUGUAAAAUUACAUGUAUAUGGCUAUAUUUUUAUUUGCUUGCUCCUAGAAGAGAAAAAAAAAAUCAACUUUGAAUCACAACUAGGAAUUGAUGCUUUAAUUUUUGGAUACUUUUUCAGAAUUUUUAAUUUACUAUAGUCCGGCCUAAGAUCCUUUGUUGUAUCAGGUUUUGUGCACAAAAGAAAAGCACAAAAGUUGAAUGCACAUGGGGCAUGUGCUUUCUGUGCACCAAAUAUCUGGAUGAGGUUCUUUUUUCAGGCCUACAGUCAAAUCUGUGUCCAGGAUUUUUUGACUUUUUUGCUUUGUAUAAUCAUAGAAUUCAUUGCUGCUGAUUUCUAUAAUGAUUCAUGUUGUCAUGUGUCUCUUAAUAACUGAGGGCUGUCAAUAACCUGUGAUUUUGCCUUUUCUGUAGUCUUACUCCCAUGAAGAACCUUGGUUCUGAUGGAGAAAGUGAAAAGCUUUAUUUCUUCCCCUAGAUAUCUUUAUAUUUCUAUUAUAUUUUUUAGUUGUGUACUGUGUGCUAGAGAUUUUUUUCAGUUUGUUACAAACACAAUUUGGUAAGCCCUAAAUUGGUUCUGCCUGUCUCCAAACAGAAACAUCUGUACAAAUCUUGUUGGUAUAGACUACUUUCUGGAAAAUGGUCAAGAUAAGUUCAUGUUUUCUUGAAAUUUCUAAGAUAGUAUAUGGUAUCCCUUGUUUAAAGCAAAUCAGACUGAGUUUGACAUUUAAUUCAAUAUUUCUGGUAUUCGGUAACGGGUAUAUAUGUUUGUUCUUCCAGUUUGGGUCAGUUUAAAAGAUAUGUUGCAAAGUAUACAUAGAAAAUGUGAGCAAUGCCUCUCUUUGCCUCUUGAUCGGAAACUUCAUCAGAGCAGUAAGGAUUCCACAUGAUUUAAACUGAAAUGCUUUUCUUUGUUGUUGUAAGAACUUAAAAUGUAAAAUACCUUUUUCAGUUUAAGUCCUGUGAACAACAUUGAAGCAUGGAGAUGAGGCAAGGAAUAGUACUCACUGAAGUUGAAAUGACUGCCCACUUCAAAAUCUUCAUUGUGUUUACACACCAGUGUAUUUAUACAAAUCAGAGACAUUUUGUAGAUGCUUUGCUGACUUGUUCAGCUCUGUAAAAACACAGAAAUCAGACCCAUUUUGUAAAGCAGAAAGUCAUGUUACAUGGAACAUGUAUGUCCUGUAUAUAUCACAUACAUGGUAAUGGAGUCUUAAUGAUAAGUGCAAGAUAAUAAUUAAUGAUGGGAUUAGUCUGAUCGCUUAAUAUGCACAAUCCUGGAAGUGAAUUACUUGCAUCAGAUAUAGUGAUAUUUAUUAUUCUGUACAGAGAGAAAAAUACAUAUAAAACAUAUGCUUACAUUACAUGCACGCAGAUUUCACGCUCCAUAAUCUUUUCUAUUUUUUAAUUUACCUUUCUGUAAAUGAUGUGCAUGGAAUAUGCCUUAUAGAAAAAUGCUGUUCAUAAUUUGACUACGUGGAAAAGUGCCUAUAUGGUGGUAAUGCUAGUAAGGCAAAUAAGACAAAUUAUCAUGUUGGUUUACUACAUCACCAGUUAACAUUUUAUAUUGUGAUGUUUAAAAAAGAAAAAUUUAUACCUCAAAUGUGUAUUUUAUUUUACAAUCAGCUGUGGGGUAUGGGGUUGGGAUGGGAGAAUGGGGGGGUUUGGGGGAGGGCAGGUUUAUUCACCAUAGCCGCUGAUAAGAAUCUUCAAAAAAAUUCUAUAUGCUCACUAUAAAUGUUUCUCUGUUUGCCAUUUCUGGUAACUAUCAUGAACACAGACAGUUAACUCUUUCAUAACUAAAUUGGAUAGCUUUAUUUUACAGAAGUAUGGCAAGUUUACAAAGCAAUAUCUAAAUCUAAUUAUCAUUAGUUGCAUUUGGACUAAAUGUGAUGAUAUAAUUUUGCAAUUGAUUCUGUAAAUAAAAGGAUUACACUAAAAUAUUUGUAUUAAAAGAAGAAAAGAUAACAUUUUACCUUUAGAUAACUGCACUUGUACCUCACUAGAGUUAAUCCCACCCAAUCAGAUUGAGAAAUAAAUUGGGGAAUGUGGAAAGAGUCCAAAAGAGGUCAGAAUUUGGAGAGGUACUGGCCUUCUGGACAACAUUUAGACCCUCUACAAUUAUUUUCAUUAAGCUGAUGCCUACAUCCUGAAUAUUCACGUUUUCUCACCUACAGAUAUUUGUCUUCCCCAAAACCAAAAGAAAAAAACUACCCUUUACUCUCUUUUCUACUCAGUUACUCUUUUGUGCUAUGUUAGAAACUUGAAAUAUAUUGGUGAUGUGGGGAUUUUGUCCCCGACUGCCCACUGUACAGGACAAGAGAGCACAGUGUUUCAGUUGGAAUUCAGGACUCCUGGUUUUGAGGUAGAGGAUGAUCACUGCAGUACUUGGUUUGGAAUUGCCACAGGGGUAGCUAAACCAAAGGAGGGUUAUAUCUGCAAGGGAGGUGUAAGAAGGCAAAAUAAGGAAAAGGAGGAAUGGGUUUUCUAUUUGUUCAGUUUCAUCAACUAAUUUAUACACCUAAUACAACGUCAGUGUCAAUUGCUAUUAAGAAAUUUUUAGUUGGGCUGAGCUGGUUCUCUUGUGAAAUUGUGCUGGUUAUCUUUAAGCUUAUCAGUUAUUUGUCCAAUUAAACACUUUUCACCAGUAUUUAGUCCAAGUUGUACAGACGAUGUAUUUGGAUUUUGUCAUGGUUCAUCUACAGACUCAAAACAUAAUCAUUUUAAAGUACCUUGGGAGUGUGUAGAGUAACUUCUAUAAUAGCUUUAUGAUCCUGAUGAUGAUUUUUAAACACAAUAAAGUUGGAUCUUCCAUGUUACAAUCACAGAAUUAAAACCAGUAUUUAAAGUGGAAAAGUAUUAAAAUAUUAUGGACAAAUAUGCUGGCUUGAUUUGUUUUCCUUAACCCUGAGAUAUUGCCCUACUCUGAGUAGUUAAGAGCUUGAAAUUCAGUGUUCUUCCCGUAACCCAGUUAGGGAUCAAGAAAACUACUGAGUUGCAGCCUAAAUUUUUUUUUUUUUUUUCUUUUUUUUGGAGACAGAGUCUUGCUCUGUCACCCAGGCUGGAGUGCAGUGGCGGUAUCUUGGCUCACUGCAACCUCCAUCUUCCAGGUUCAAGCAAUUCUUGUGCCUCAGCCUCCUGAGUGGCUGGGAUUACAGGCGUGAGGCACUAUGCCCGGCUAAUUUUUAUAUUUUUAGUAGAGACAGGGUUUCGCCAUGUUGGCCAGGUUGGUCUCAAACUCCUGACCUCAGAUGAUCCACCCACCUGGGCCUCCCAGAGUGCUGGGAUUACAGGCCUGAGCCAUCGCGCCCAGCUCAAUUUUUUUUUUUAACAAAAUACAACAGGAUGGAAUAUAUCAAGUACAUGACAUGUAAUAAAUAUUUUGUGUAUCUUUUGUCAUAUGUAUUAUACAUAUGUGUGUAGUGGGUUACAGUUUACAAUUAAUUUCUUACUAUGGAUCACAUCCAGAAGUUUUAAAAGAUGGGUAGAGAAGCCAUACUCACUUGGGUGUUUCAGAAAUGGAAGCACAGUGCUGGUGAAUGAUACACACUUAUUUUGUAAUUGAGCUGUAUGCACUUAACCAUAAAUAAAUAAUCUCAUUUAUUUAAAUCUCAUUUAAUCUCAGCUCCACUUGUUGCACUCAGUCAGUGGAUUCGUAUUGAAAGGCACUGAGCAUAUUUCUUUCCUAGUGUUCAAAGAUACAUGCUAUCCAAACAAUGUGAUCUGUAAACAAAAGCCAACUACUUAAUCUGGUGGGAUGCUGGAGGGAAAAUCUGACUUGUGUUGAAUUUGUUGACAGAGAAAUAUUAUGUGGUCCUCAUUCCUAGAGGGAUUUUCUAGGGCAGUUUUAACUGUGCAGUUUUUCUUUAGACUUGACUUUGGCAUAUAACCUGCAAAUAAGGUGUAGUUCUAACUAGCAAUUUCAAAUGGGGUUGCUUUUAUAGGAUCUUCCAGAUUUUCUUGCCAUUACUUGAAUUUGGUUACAACAGAGUUCAUACUAUCAUUUAUAUUGUCUACCUUUUAAGACACAUUUUCUGUGAACCUUCCACAUCUGUAUACUUUGAAUAGCCUUGCACAAAUAUCAUAAGUGAAGCUACUUUAUUGGGCCUCUUCAUUCUCUCUUUCUAUAGAAUUCUGUGAGGUUAGUACUAGAACAAAUCUUUAAGAUCUCUGAAGUUAUUAGAAGAUGCCAAACCAGGAUUUUCCUGUCACCCAGGCUCUGUGGUUUAUGAGGUGGUGGCUAUCUCCACCGUGUCUGUACCAGGCACUAUGCUUUUUCUGACUCCUCCCCACUCAACAGUCCUGUGAGGUGGUAGCGGUGAUUGGUGGUACCACCCCUGUUUUACAGAUAAGGGAACAGGUUGGGGUUCCAAACCUACUGAUUCCCUGACUCAAGUUUGUUUUUUUCCCAUUAGACUCUACUUUGUAAUGCCUGUGUGUAAUAUCUAGAAUAUAGUGUUUGAUGGACUAGAAAGAGCCAACAUGCUUAAAGACUAGCAAUUUUGGUGUAUAGGUCUUAGUCCCACACUUCAGUAUUGGCUUCACAAAAUUCCAACACAUGGUUCCUUAACAAUGGUUCGAUUUAUGAUUGUUCGACUUUAUGCAAAGCACUACAAAUACAGUACACUCCAGCUUACCAUGGGGCUGCGUUCCGAUAAACCAGUCAUAUAUGGAAAAUACCCUCAGAGGAUGAAACAGGAAACUGAGUCAUAAAACACUACUACAAACAAGCCCAAGGAUUUUAUCCCAGAUUUUCAACCCAAGGAUGAGCUGCAAUAUAACUAUCACUGUUUUGGCUGCCUGCCACAGAAUGACCACUGAGGAAAUAAAGCAAGCUUUGGAUUCACUGCA